rnacentral:lncRNA from 1 species
AGACCCCAACAUGUUAGAACAGUAAAUUCCUCUUGCUUUUUGCAUUGAUUCCUGGUUCUGUGUCAUUCGCUCAGGGAGUCCCCAGUAAACUAAGACUUGCCACAGUCUUACAACCUCCAUCAUAUCAGAUAUGACUUGACAUUGUCCACCAGAUCUUCCUGAUUGGUCCGCCUCUGCUCUCCGUGGCUAAGGCAACUACAGUAGGGAGUGAGGGGUUCCUCAGAAGUCAUCUGUACCUCCCCCCCUCACUGAAGGGCAGCGGCACAUGAAGAAGGUAGAGAAAUGAUCCCUCAGCUACAGAAGACGACCUGUGAGAGGAAUGAGCUGUGUGGUUUCCUGGCCCAUUAUACAAAGAUUUGAACAACAGGGAAGACUAUGUACAGCCCUCCAUGAAGAAUUGUUACUUUUACAUCAAUCAUUCAGGAGUAGUAAAGGAUUCUACGGCUAAAGUUUGAGAAGGACUAGCCAAAAGGAAAAGAGAAAAAGGAUAGCAUCAAGGAUGGUUUGAAUCCUGAUUCUCCACUUUCCCAUGGCUUACAACUUUAAUUUCUACACUGCUUGGAC